AGGAUACGGUUAACGGAGCGAAAGCGACGUUCAACCUCAAAAGAAGCAGAGGGGGCUUAGUGGUGGGGCGCCUGCGUACCUUUUGUAUAAUGGGUCAGGGAUUUAUAUUCUGUAGCAAGGUUAACCGCAUAGGGGAGCCGGAGGGAAACCGAGUCUUAAUUGGGCGUUAAGUUUCAGGGUAUAGACCCGAAACCCGGUGAUCUAGCCAUGGGCAGGUUGAAGGUUGGGUAACACUAACUGGAGGACCGAACCGAC
rnacentral:rRNA from 1 species